rnacentral:rRNA from 1 species
CAACCUGCCCAUCACUUGGGGAUAACCUUGCGAAAGUAAGACUAAUACCCAAUGACGUCUCUAGAAGACAUCUGAAAGAGAUUAAAGAUUUAUCGGUGAUGGAUGGGGAUGCGUCUGAUUAGCUUGUUGGCGGGGUAACGGCCCACCAAGGCGACGAUCAGUAGGGGUUCUGAGAGGAAGGUCCCCCACAUUGGAACUGAGACACGGUCCGAACUCCUACGGGAGGCAGCAGUGAGGAAUAUUGGUCAAUGGGCGAGAGCCUGAACCAGCCAAGUAGCGUGCAGGAUGACGGCCCUAUGGGUUGUAAACUGCUUUUAUAAGGGAAUAAAGUGAGUCUCGUGAGACUUUUUGCAUGUACCUUAUGAAUAAGGACCGGCUAAUUCCGUGCCAGCAGCCGCGGUAAUACGGAAGGUCCGGGCGUUAUCCGGAUUUAUUGGGUUUAAAGGGAGCGUAGGCCGGAGAUUAAGCGUGUUGUGAAAUGUAGACGCUCAACGUCUGCACUGCAGCGCGAACUGGUUUCCUUGAGUACGCACAAAGUGGGCGGAAUUCGUGGUGUAGCGGUGAAAUGCUUAGAUAUCACGAAGAACUCCGAUUG